GAUGAACGCUGGCGGCGUGCCUAAUACAUGCAAGUCGAGCGAACAGAUGAGGAGCUUGCUCCUCUGACGUUAGCGGCGGACGGGUGAGUAACACGUGGAUAACCUACCUAUAAGACUGGGAUAACUUCGGGAAACCGGAGCUAAUACCGGAUAAUAUAUUGAACCGCAUGGUUCAAUAGUGAAAGACGGUUUUGCUGUCACUUAUAGAUGGAUCCGCGCCGCAUUAGCUAGUUGGUAAGGUAACGGCUUACCAAGGCGACGAUGCGUAGCCGACCUGAGAGGGUGAUCGGCCACACUGGAACUGAGACACGGUCCAGACUCCUACGGGAGGCAGCAGUAGGGAAUCUUCCGCAAUGGGCGAAAGCCUGACGGAGCAACGCCGCGUGAGUGAUGAAGGUCUUCGGAUCGUAAAACUCUGUUAUUAGGGAAGAACAAAUAUGUAAGUAACUAUGCACGUCUUGACGGUACCUAAUCAGAAAGCCACGGCUAACUACGUG
rnacentral:rRNA from 1 species